GCAGCAGCUAGCCUGAACGGCUUGAUUCUCUCUAGAAUCAAUUGGCUUAGCUCCUGCGAUGUUGUGUUUGCAAACUCGUUCUUUUCGAGUUGGGUAGAGUUCUACCAAAUGUUUUGUUGCAGUUU
rnacentral:misc_RNA from 9 species